rnacentral:tRNA from 1 species
UCCGCAGUAGCUCAGUGGUAGAGCUAUCGGCUGUUAACCGAUCGGUCGUAGGUUCGAAUCCUACCUGCGGCAGCCA